GGUUGUAUGGUGUAGCGGCUAGCACAUGAGAUUUUGAUUCUCGAGAUCUGGGUUCGACUCCCAGUACGACCU
rfam:Schizosaccharomyces cryophilus OY26 unplaced genomic scaffold supercont4.1, whole genome shotgun sequence.